GGGAAGGCACAAGGGAACAGGAAGGCACAAGGGGACAGGGAAGGCACAAGGGGAACAGGGAAGGGGACAGGGAAGGCACACAGGGAGCAAUGGAGGCACAAGGGGACAGGGAAGGCACAAGGGGACAGGGAAGGCACAAGGGGAACAGGGAAGGGGACAGGGAAGGCACAAGGGGACAGGGAAGGCACACAGGGAGCAAUGGAGGCACAAGAGGAGCAGUGAAGGGGACAGGGAAGGCACAAGGGGAGCAAUGGAGGCACAAGGGGACAGGGAAGGGGACAGGGAAGGCACAAGGGGACAGGGAAGGGGACAGGGAAGG